rnacentral:rRNA from 1 species
CAAAGGAAUUCGACGGACCCGCACAAGCAGCGGAGCGUGUGGUUAAUUCGAUGCUACACGUAAGACCUUACCAGGGUUUGACAUGCAAGUGGUAGGAAUCCGAAAGGUGACCGACCUUCGGGGAGCUUGCACAGGUGCUGCAUGGCUGUCGUCAGCUCGUGUCGUGAGAUGUUGGGUUAAGUCCCGCAACGAGCGCAACCCUUAUCAUUAGUUGCUACGCAAGGGCACUCUAAUGAGACUGCCGGUGGACAAACCGGAGGAAGGUGGGGAUGACGUCAAGUCCUCAUGGCCCUUAUGGGUAGGGCUUCACACGUCAUACAAUGGUCGGUACAGAGGGUUGCCAAGCCGCGAGGCGGAGCCAAUCCCACAAAGCCGAUCGUAGUCCGGAUUGUUCUCUGCAACUCGAGAGCAUGAAGUCGGAAUCGCUAGUAAUCGCAGGUCAGCAUACUGCGGUGAAUACGUUCCCGGGUCUU